rnacentral:tRNA from 1 species
GCACCCGUAGCUCAGUGGAUAGAGCAUCCGGCUUCGGACCGGAGUGUCGGGGGUUCGAAUCCCUUCGGGUGUGCCA